rnacentral:rRNA from 1 species
AACGUAGGAGACAAACGUUAUCCGGAGUUACUGGGCGUAAAGGGCGUGUAGGUGGUUUCGUAAGUCUGGCGUGAAAUUUCUCGGCUUAACCGAGGCAGGUCGUCGGAUACUGCGGAACUAGAGGACGGUAGAGGCGUGUGGAAUUCCGGGUGUAGUGGUGAAAUGCGUAGAGAUCCGGAGGAACACCAGUGGCGAAGGCGGCCGCCUGGACCUGACCUGACGCUGAGGCGCGAAGGCGCGGGGAGCGAACGGG